rnacentral:piRNA from 1 species
UGCGCUUCUGGGUCCUUCAGAUC